AUAUCUGAGACGACAUAUUAAUACAGUUUUUAUUAAGUUUCAGACAGUGACGGAUGGCUGAAAUAUGCGAAUAACUGUGAAAAUAGAGGAAAAAGUAGUUUCUGACACUGAAAAGCGAAUUUGACAUUUAAGUGAGUCAAAUGAGUUCAAAAAGUGAAUACGACAUUCUGCUCUAAUGUAAACGCAUGCAGUUGUCCAUAUCGACAUGUAAAUCAUACAAAUUACGUGCAAUAUAGUCGGACCGCAGGUCUAAGAGAACCGACGAUCCAGUUCAAAUAAACCGGUUCAGUCUAACAAAGUGAUUCCCGGAAAAUAAUCGACGUCUCAGGGCAUUUCAAAGUGCGCGGAUGCACAGCGAGUGUGGUAGGCCGCGUUAGUGAGGUGAUUUUAUGCUUUUGUGGUUUAUAAAGUCUUUUUACAUACAAGUUAUAACUCAAAAUGUUGUUUUUUCCUGUCAGAAAAGCACAUGGAUACAUUUGUGAGAGAAAAACUCGUCGAGUGCAGCCUUAUUGAGGCGUCUAACGGUUGGAACAAACAUGGAAUUCCUUAACCGAGCAGAGUCCACAAAACCCCAUACAAUUGUUGUGGCGAUUUAAAAAUGCCAGCAGAUCUCUCAGGCAUUGAUCAUAAUCAAUGGACAGGUCACCGUAGCCACCAGAUCCAGUAUGUAUCCAGAUCAGAUGGUGGAUCAGCACCUAGAAAGGACCUCUACUGCCCUGAAAGACAGUGGAGACCAGGACAACUAAAGCCCCAGAUACAGAUCCUCUGUAAAGACUCAGAGGACCACCAGGACAAGACCACAGGAAACAGAUGAUUCUUCUGCACAAUCUGACUUUGCUGCAGCCUGGAAUUGAACUACUGGUUUCGUCUGGUCAGAGGAGAACUGGCCCCCAACUGAGCCUGGUUUCUUCCAAGGUUUUUUCUCCAUUCUGUCACCGAUGGAGUUUCGGUUCCUUGGUUUUCCUAAGUUGGGGACCAUUAAGAUCAAGCGAUAUCAUCGACUUGAUCGCACAGAGGGACGAUACAUCACUGAAUCAAUGAUGAACUGACUUUAACUGAAAACUGAGUGUUUACUGUUAUCCCUUCACAUUAUUACACACUAUUUUCCUUUUUAAUAUUGUAAAGCUGCUAUGAUGCAGUAUUUGAUCAAUAUGACAGGAUUAUUACUCAUAAUACAUGGAAAAUACAGCUGCAAAGGGACUUUGAAACUGAAACAGUAAUUUUUGUUCUGUGUUUUUGAAACAGUGUUUUUAUUCAAUAUUUGCAAUUGUGUUUGGAUUAUGUCACAAUGUGUCUUUAUCUCAUUUCCUUUUGA